UUUGGAGCACAUGGCAGAUUUUAUUCCCUAUAUAUAGGACCUCUUAUUUUCUCACAAACACAUGUUAAUCACUCAGCAUUUCUCUCAAAUACAGACUGAUUUUUAUACACAAAAAUCUCUCUGCACUCUUUCUUGCUCCCAAAAACGAAAACACUCACAAGGAGUCAAUAUAUAGCUAGAAACCAACAAAAAGAAGAAAGUUGUUUUCCUCUUCAUUUUUACUGGUUUAUUCUAGUUCUAUGGGGAUUUCAAAUCAGCUCUCGGUUCUUUGGUUCUUGUUGAUUUCCUGAUGCUGCGUUUGUUCUUGUUGUUGCCGUCUUCCAAUUCAGAGAUCUAUUUUCUAUUUUUUGUGUUCUGUUGCUACCUUCUGCUGAUAGCCAUGCCUAUUGUCGUUGCUUCUGUAUACUUAUACGGAUGGAGUUCAAGUAUGGCAUUCAAGAUGAAAUUGGAUGCAUGAAGGGCUACUAAGUCAAAUGUUUAAGUGUUCUUAUUCAUGUUUAGAUUAGAGAAUUUCAGUGUAUGUAGGAGUUCUGUAGUGUAAACAGGUUUAAAUUCUGAUUUUAGUAUGAAUAAUUUGAAACAUCUCAUGUGCUAAGAUUUGUAACUAAUUUUUCUAUGCUUGUGGCGUAUUGAAAUGAUCAUGCGCCGGUUUAAACUUGCGAUGAAUUUGAAUUCCAGUUUAUUUAUAUUAUUUCUGA